rnacentral:tRNA from 3 species
GGGCGGUUAGCUCAGUUGGUACGAGCGCUCGCUUCACACGCGAGAGGUCACUGGUUCAAGUCCAGUACCGCCCACCA